rnacentral:rRNA from 1 species
UACCAGCACCCCGAGUGGUCGGGACGAUUAUUGGGCCUAAAGCAUCCGUAGCCGGUACUGCAAGUCUUCCGUUAAAUCCACCUGCUCAACAGUUGGGCUGCGGAGGAUACUACAGCGCUAGGAGGCGGGAGAGGCAAGCGGUACUCAGUGGGUAGGGGUAAAAUCCGUUGAUCCAUUGAAGACCACCAGUGGCGAAGGCGGCUUGCCAGAACGCACUCGACGGUGAGGGAUGAAAGCUGGGGGAGCAAACCGG